rnacentral:rRNA from 1 species
AAUCUUCCGCAAUGGACGAAAGUCUGACGGAGCAACGCCGCGUGAACGAUGAAGGUCUUCGGAUCGUAACGCUCUGUUGUUAGGGAAGAACAAGUAUCGGAGUAACUGCCGGUACCUUGACGGUACCUAAUUAGAAAGCCACGGCUAACUACGUGCCAGCAGCCGCGGUAAUACGUAGGUGGCAAGCGUUGUCCGGAAUUAUUGGGCGUAAAGCGCGCGCAGGCGGUCUUUUAAGUCUGAUGUGAAAGCCCACGGCUCAACACUGGAAUUGCAUUUGAAACUGUGUGGCUUGAGUGCAGGAGAGGAAAGUGGAAUUCCUAGUGUAGCGGUGAAAUGCGUAGAGAUUAGGAGGAACACCAGUGGCGAAGGCGACUUUCUGGACUGUAACUGACGCUGAGGUACGAAAGCGUGGGUAGCGAACA